rnacentral:lncRNA from 1 species
CUAAUUUUUAGGUUUUAUAUAUAUAUAUAUAUAUAUAUCCAAUUAAAUAGUAAAAUAAAUAAAAUUUCAGUAAUUUCUUAAAAAGGAUAGAAUGCUUUUUUUAUGAAAGAAUACUUGUACUUCUAAAUAAUAAAUAAUUAUUACAAUAAACAAUAAUUAUAUGAGAGUGGUAAUAACCAAACAUAUCAAAAUCUUUAAAAAUACUAUACUCGAAAAUAUAAAAAUUAAGAAGAUAAAAUAUUAUUUUAUAAAAAAUAAAUAAUAAAUAAUUAAUAUUGAAUCUAUAAGUCAUUUAUUGGAUUUUCAAAUACAAAUGAACAGGAUAUGCAAAUAAAUAAAAAAAAAAAACAGAAAAAUCUAUAAAAAGUUUCUUCUAUAAACAGAAAAGGGAAAAAAAAAACAUAUUAGAGAGUUAAUUACAUCAGUUGGAAAAGAUAGUGAUAUAUUUGGAUAAGAGAAUUAAUAUUGUCAUACUUCUAUUAAUUAAAAUCUGAAAACAACAAUAACAUAUAAAUCAAAAAUUAAAAAAUAAAAAAACACAAAAAAUUGAAAUCAAAAUAAUUCAAAGAGGCAACAAAAACAUAAAACAAAAAACCCUUGUGAAAGAAAAUUAUUGAAUAGAGGUAUUUAUAGAUUGAUAUAGGUACAUAGAUACAGAUAAAAAAACUCAAAAAAUUUUAAAGUUUAAAUUUUGAAAAUUUAAUAGUUUCAAAGUGGUUUAUAUCUUGAGAAAAUAAUAUAUAUAUAUAUAUAGAAGUAAAAAAUCGCAAAAAUUUAUAAAAAAGAAAAGUAGAAAGCUAAAAAUUUAUAGCGCCACAUCAGCAUUUUUAAAAUAUUUUUUGUUUUAGGAUUAUAUAUAUAAAUAGAUAUAGAUAUUGAUAUAGAUAUAGAUUUUUAUUAGUUCACAUGACGAUCUAAAAAUGGAUGAAAAUACUUUUAAAAUUUGAGUAAAAUUGAUAGAGAUGUAAAAAUAGAAUGAAAUUGCAAAACCUCUUAAAAUUCAAAGUAUUAUAAUGUAUUAAGCUAAAUAGCUUGUAAGAAGUUUCAAAAUUAAAUUGUUCUAAGGUUAAAGAAAAAGUUAAAAAACUUUCACAAUGAACUUUUUAAAAUAUGAAAAAGUUAGGAAGGAAAUAGAGUUUGGCUAAGUAUAUAAAUUAACUCGCUUUAUAACUUUAAUUCUAUGUCAUGUUGAACUUUGUGAAUUUUCUAUUGUGCAUUAAAACUUGCAAAUUUGAUAAUAGUAUACACUUUUACAUACUAAUAGCACUAAUUUUUAUGAUUUUUAACUUUAUACGUAAACUAUUGAAUUUAUAUGUAGUUAAAUUAAUUUUCAUAUAUUUUAAUUAUUUAAUAGGUGUUUAAUUGAUGUAAUUUUAUAAAUUAAAGUUUUCAAUAAAAUAAUUAUGCAAGUUGAAUUGUUUAAUUUGUGUAAUUUUACAAAUUACAAUAUUUAAUCGACUUAAAAUAAAAAUUGAGAGUGCCAACAAAGUUGUAAUAAAAUUCAAAGAUGAAUUUAUAUAUUCCGUCGUAGAGUUUUGAUAUCAUAGUAGAAAUAUGUUAAACUUUGAACCUAAUAAGUAUUAAGGUUAGUGUUAGGGUGAAUACUUAUUAAUUAGAGCCGUUAAAUUGAAUGAAAAUAAUCUGAUUAAUUUUUUAUAAUUGAUUGGUUUAAUUGCUCGAAUUAUUAAUUUGGAUAAUAUCGAUUUUGAAGUUUUGAUUUGAUUAUAAAAAAUAAAUUUAUCUAAAUUCAAACAGAGGUAAUCUAAUUUGAUUCAAUUUGGUAUAUAAUUUAAUUUUGCUUGAAUCUAGAAAAGAGAAUAUACUUCAUUUCUAUUUCUUUUCAGUACUUAGAAUAGAGGUUUAGGAAUGACAACAGUUCCGAACUGUUGAUUUCAAUUAUAAAUAGGGUGAAAUAAAAAUUGAUCCGUUUUUAAAUAAUUUUUAAAAACGUUUUUGAAAUUAUCGGUUCAAUUCCAUUAUAAUUUAGAAUUGAAUUAAACAACCAUUUUCAAGCUUUUAUUUAUUUUUUUAUUUACACCUUGAGUAAAUAAUUAUGAUAAAUAUUAAAUGUUUUCAAAUAAUAAUAAUAAUAUUGAAAAUACACAACCAAUUUAUCAAAAAGUGUUAAUUUUAAAAAAAUACAAUAAAUAAAAAAUAAUAUCAAGAGUUUUUUUUUUUACGAUUUUCAAACUGAAAUGCAUAUUUAAAUCAAAAUAGUUGUUUCUAAUUUUAAAAAAUAAAAAAUAAGUAUAAACACACAGUUUCAAUUACGAUUUAAAUUAAAACGUUAACUAUAGUUUGAUGUCGAUUUGGUUUUUCAAAACCCGCCUAAUUAAAAAGACGUUAGGUGAUUCAUAUACUUGACAGUUGUUUCGUGCUUAAUAACUACAUUGUUGAUAGUUGAUAGAAAUAAGUCUCAAUUAACUAUUGAUUUCAUCGGUUAUAUUUUGAAGUUUUUUGAAUGACGUGGUAGCUCAUUUACACUUUAUAUUAUUUUAGAUUUCAUUAUCUUCAUAAAAAUAAUUGCAAAUGAAUUUUUUUUCUUAUAAUAAUUUUAUUUAUAAUUAAUUAAAAUUAAAAUUUUUCUUAAAUAUUAAUUUAAAAUUUUAAUAAAUAUUUUUAUUUAUAUGAUAUAUUAAAAUAAAAAUAAUAUGUUCACCUUAAAUUAAAAAAAAUAUAUAUAUAUCUAUUAUACAUUAUACAUCACAAUUGAAUUAUACAAUUAUGCUCUUAAUAGUAAUUAUACAUUUUUUUGGGUAUUAAGAAAGAAAAUUUAAAUUUGAAUCUAUUAUCAUAUCGUAUAAAUAAUAUAAAUAAUAUAUGUAUUUAUCAAUAUACUAUUUUUUAGUGUAUAAUUUUAUAUACCUUAUAUUUUAAUAGCCAGAUCAAUUAGCUAUGAGUUAGUACGUAAUGCUCAAUCAAAUCGUCGUUAAAGUGUCAAGCUAGGUAACACUAAAUACCAUAUAAUAAAAAAUAUUUUUUUUAGUGUUGUAUUUUACUGGAGAUUCCGGGUUGAUCCAUUAACGAUAAUUAAUAUUGGACCCCAAUAAAAAAUAAUCCUACUAUAUAUACAUUAAAUAUUAUAUUAUUAAAUAAAAAAAAACAUAAAGCAGCGCAGCCUAUCAAGACUAGACCACCUGUUCUUAUUCUGUGUGGUUCAACACAAAACAAAGACAAAUCACUCACGGUCACACUUCACUCUUACCUCUACCUCUCUCCUCAACCACGGCAAAUGGCGGCCGCUAGAGUGAUGGCAGCAGCUGCCGCAACCAACGCAACGACGUCGUGUGGCCUUCUCCUUAAACGACCAUUCGUUUUGAACCAAAAGCCUUUCUUCAAUGGCGUCGGUUUCUGCUUUAAUGGCAAAAGACAAUUACCGUUGUUCUCCUCUUCAAAAAGAUCGGUUUUGACUUGUACUGCUAUACAUAACCCUGAUGUUAAAAUCAAAGAGGAAGGCCAGCCUGAGACCCUCGAUUACCGUGUGUUCUUCCUUGACAACUCUGGGAAAAAGGUCUUUCGUUUUAUCUUUGCUGUUUUUGUUUUGAUAUUCUGCUGUUUGGUUUGCUGGAAAUGUGGGAUGUCAAAGAAAUUUAAGUGGGUUAUAUUUAGGUUCUCCUCUAUCUGUUGAUUACAGUGUCAUGUUUAUACUGAUACUUGUGUUUUUUGAAGGAAAUCCAACGUUUUGUUCAGUUAUUGUCUGUGAUUUUGAUCUUUGGUUGGAGUUAUAUUAUGUGUGAUUUUUCAAUGUUUUGAUAACUACUUGUGGUAAUUUAACUAAAAAUUACCUCUUUUUAAGGUUUUGAUGGUUUUGAUGUUCAAUUAAUAUUUUAAGAAACUGUAUGGCUCAGUUUAGGAAAUUCUGUGUCUGUGUUAUUUGCUUCUUUUUUUUUCCCCCUUUGAAAGACACUUUAAAAAAAAUAAAAAAAUAAAAAAAUAAAACUGUAAUAGUUUGGCUAAUUUUAUCAGUUAUAUUUAUCUGCUGACAUGUAUUUCUUGCUUGCUAUGCAGGUUUCUCCUUGGCAUGACAUACCGUUGCACUUGGGCGAUGGUGCGUUCAACUUUGUUGUUGAAAUUCCCAAAGAAUCAAGUGCAAAGAUGGAGGUUGCUACUGAUGAGCAAUUCACUCCUAUCAAGCAGGACACAAAAAAGGGAAAACUUAGAUAUUACCCGUAAGAUUUUCUAGUUUCUUUCUUUGCAUUUUGUUUAUUAGUUUACGUCUUGAGGAUGCUUCUACUAGUUGUGAGAACUUGGAAAUAGUAAGUUGCUAUUACUUGGAGUGUGAAAUUGGUAAAAAAUUUUGGUCGAGUUCACAGUUGUUUGCACUAGAGAAAGUCCAAUUAUGGAACUCUGCAUUAGGGAUGUUGGAACUUGGGAGUAUCUCUUGGCUGUUUUUUUGUGAGUCAGUGAAUGUUGACCGGCUGAAUGUGAUGCCAUAUCCUAUUUGCGAACUGCGUAAUUUUUUCCAUCUUGCUCUGGGAUCUGCAUACUACAAUUUUUAUCUUGCAUUUAGAAUCUUAUAUUAUAACAUUGACCACUAACGUUAAAUCAUGGAGAUAGGAAUUCUCUUCCGAAUAAUAUGGAAAAACUUCUUGAUGCUUUUAGCAUUCGCCUGAUCUUAGUUCCUCAAUAUACUCAUUCAUCUUGAACUUGCAUGUAGGGCCAUGGUUUGAUCCUCUACUAUUAAACUUUUAGCCUGUUUAUAUAUUUCCUUGGUGCCUACUAUAUAAAAAAGAAAAAUAAGUCCCAAUAUAUUGAUCCAAUUUUCCAAAAUUCACAAGUCUGAACUCUCUUUCUCAUUAUUAUACUUGCAUCAACUCAAACUGACUUUGCUUUUUCAUUAAUGUCGGCAAUGUUCUUUGAUCAAGUAUAUAAGUAUGAGCACUGUCCUCUCACCAUCAUUCUACUUCAAGGGUUAAAACAUCUAAUCCUUGCAUUAGUAAUCAUCAGCACACACUUCAGCACUUACAAUUAAAUUAAAGUGACAUAGAUGUGCGAGUGACUGACAUGGUCGUUCAAUAAUCAAUACUCAUUUUGGAGGUUCCUCAGCCACGACCAGUCUACUACCCCCUUUCACAGUAUUUUUUGGCCUCAUAAUGAAACCUAUGUUGUAUGGUAUUCGAUCUUAGGUUUGUUUGGUGCUUCAAAUAGUUUUAUUGGUAUGUUUUUGCAUUUUUGUGACGCAAGGCGCAUGGGACUUAGAUGCUUGUUUGUUUGUUUUCAACGCCAAUUUUUAAUGGAAGGAUUAAUAAUAAAUGAAACUUAGUACUAGAACAGAAUUGAGAUGGCAGUUAAAAUGACAUCUUGCCUUCUUCUUUUUUAAGUAGAUAAUAGUUUAUUGGACAUACCCAUCCCCCCCCCCCCCCCCCCCCCCCCCCCCCCCCCCCCCCCACCCACCACAAAUUAAUAAUAAAUGAAACUUAGUACUAGAACAGAAUUGAGAUGGCAGUUAAAAUGACAUCUUGCAUUCUUCUUUUUUAAGUAGAUAAUAGUUUAUUGGACAUACCCAUCCCCCCCCCCCCCCCCCCCCACAAAAAAAAAAAAAAAAAAAAAAAAGUUUAGUUUACUGCCUUUUACUUCAUGUAUAAUUUUCUCCUCAUUCUGCUAUAUUUUCUUUUAACGUACAGCUUGUACAGUGAUUUUACACACAACCUUAUAAUCUUAUGGACCUUUUCAAGUUUAUAUAACUUUCAUAUAAUUCUUUCAUCAAUAGAAGAAGCUACAACUUGUUGUAGUUGGUGUACUUUUUAUAUGAUUAUUAUUGAUUUCAUUGUGCACGUUCUCGGUUAUGGCAGCUUGUAUACUUAGACAAGCCUUAAUCCCAAACUAGUUGGUUGGCAACUUGUUAGUUGGAUCAAUAUCUUAUUUAAAAUAUCAAUUGUCUUCUACGCUUGUUUCAUUCUUUCAUGUAAUUUUAUCACUUUAUCCUUUGUUAUUUUUCUUCAGCUAUAACAUAAACUGGAACUAUGGAUUGCUUCCACAAACAUGGGAAGAUCCAUCUUUUGCAAACCAUGAAGUUGAAGGGGCAUUCGGAGAUAAUGACCCAGGUAUAUCAUCAUAACUUGUUUCAAAAUCUUUCUUUCCAGCAUAUUGGCACUUAAAUUAGUUACAUUAUUUUCUCAAAUUGUAGUUGAUGUUGUUGAGAUUGGUGAAAGACGGGCAAAGAUUGGUGAAAUUCUAAAGGUGAAGCCCCUGGCUGCUUUAGCCAUGAUUGAUGAGGGUGAACUUGACUGGAAAAUUGUCGCAAUCUCAUUGGACGAUCCACGAGCUUCUUUUGUAAACGAUGUUGAUGAUGUGGAGAAACAUUUCCCGGUAGGCUUCCUUCUCUUUGCUAUUGUGAUGUCCAUAACCUGGAUAACAAUGGUUUUCUAUCUGUACCAAUAUAACCAGGAAAAAAGACGUGUCUGUAUGAUGGGAAUCAAUUAUUUAUAGUUUCUUCAUUAAUUUCAGUCAACACAUUUGUUUACUAGCAGGCUAUGUGGCUUCCCAGAAGUUGUCUUUUAAUGGAUAUAUUGCCAUGAAAUGGUUGGCAAAAUAAUAUCCAGUCAUAAAUAACAAAAUAGUUGAUAUAAAUAGCUGGCAGUAUGUUGCAAAUGUAAAAGUACGAAGUCACGAUAAAGAUGUGUCGGGAGAGAUUUUAUUGGAAAUGUUGAGUUUGUUGAGUUGGUGGAUAUAGAGAUAGAAUAACAUCCAGUUAUUAUGAUAUUGUAUGAAGUGACUAAAAAAUGCAUUAUGCCAAGGUCAUGUAUUGAUACUGAAAUCAGGAAUACUGUAAUUAAUUGUUUACCAAGUAUACAACUAAUCUGCUGGUGUUUUCAUUAGGGAACUCUGACUGCAAUCAGGGACUGGUUUAGAGACUACAAGAUCCCUGAUGGUAAGCCUGCUAACAAAUUUGGUCUUGGGAACAAGGCAGCAAACAAGGUAUUCUUCUUCCUAAUUUUCCUUUUCUUAUUACAUGUUAUACAGCAUAGGCUUGCUUUAAGGUGAUAUAUGUAUAUGGUAUUUCCGUUUCACAUUUUGGACCCAAUACAAACUAGGGAAUAAAUCAUUCCAUAUUCUGUAAUAAUACAUACACAUUUGAUAAUUUAGUGCCUUGUUAAAUUGUAGCCUCAGCUAAAGUUUAGGAUUCUAGCUGCUAAACAAUAUAAUGCUUGAGACUUGAGAAGGAUACUGCAGCUCCUUAGCUAUAGUGACUGAUGUCUCACGAUUAGUUGUCCUUAUCUAAUGACUAGCAAUAAUAGGAAAUUCGUAUGUGGUAUAACCAUACUUGAAGUAUAAUUGUUUUUCUUUCUCCUAUGCAAAUUAGAUGUUUAUUGCUAGCAACUUCAUAUUAUAAAUGAUUAUUUUCCUCAUAUGAUUUACAAUGUCUUUGUGAUGAGCAGGAUUAUGCUCUGAAGGUUAUCACCGAAACAAAUGAGUCUUGGGCUAAACUAGUCAAGAGAACAAUUCCUGCUGGAGAGCUCUCACUUUUAUAAAUGCCUCGAACAGAGUUGGAGCUUGAAGUAGCAGUUGCUUUGGUUGUCGCUUGCCAGAGUUUUGCUUUCUGGCAAGCCAGUCCUAGUUAUCAACACUUUUUUUCCCAUUGAGUUUGAAUAAUCCAUUGUUUCCAUGUUUCAUAUGAUGAAAUCACUACAUUCCAGGUUGAUUCUAAUGCAUUUCCAUUUUCUAGUGCUUUUCUUGGUUCAAUUUUAUCCUAUAUUAUUUACUUUUCUUAGUUUCCACUUUUGUAUUUGUAUAGAGGAGGGAACAAAAAAAAAGACAAAUGAAAAUAAACUAAUAUUUCACAUUAAACAAUGCAUUUUUUAAUUCUUUUCUUUCUAUAAUUUGGAGAGAUUCUAAUUUUAUGAGCCUGGAGGAGAUGGUAUUUAUUUUUCAUUCCGUGGAUGUUUUCCUCAUCUUUUUCAAAUAAGGGGGAAAAAAAAUUCCCUUCCUAUUUUCCUCACAUAUUUUGCCCUUUCCCAAGAAAAAAAUAAUCCCAUUACCAAACCUGGUUUCCUUCAUUGCUUUUUACUUUUUUUUUUUUUUUGACUGAAAAGAUAUCUUAAUUAUUAUUAAAAUCCAUCAACAAAACAUCAUGAAUAAUAGAUGGAGGAGACAGUUCCCACUCCAUAGGGCCAGACAUAGAACUAGUAGCCUUAGCUAACAAAAGCUGAGGACAAAGAAGAAAACUCCUGCAUAAGGGUUUUACAAUCUAAGAUUAAAGAGCCAAAAUAAGAGAAAUCCUCUCACUGCGAAUUCAGAGCUUGUAACACAGUUAAACAAUCACCUUCAACCAUUACUUGAGGCUGUCCACCCCUAUUCUUCAACCAACUCAGCGCCUCUCUUACGCCCUAGACCUCUGCCAUAGCUGCACUAGAGACAACCCAGAAUCUGCAUUUUACCACCCAUACACACGCCUCUAUCGUUCCUCAAAAUCCAUCCUGCACCUGCCCGACCUGUUGCACUAUCAUACCCAGCAUCAACAUUUAGUUUGAAACCUGUAGCUGGACGUCUCCAUUUUGCAACUGAAGGUGGCUGGAUAUCUGCUUCUUGACUUGAGUCCCCUACCCGAACUUCCGUCCAAGCUCUUAAGAAAGUAUGAGCCCGUCGAACCACAGACCCAGACAUCGGUUGUUUACCCUGCCAAAUAAAAGAAUUACGAGCACACCAUAUUACCCACGCCAACAUACCAGCUUCGUUCAGCUUCACAUCAUCACAACAGGACAUUAACAACUGAAACCACUCCUUAAAAUCUGAAACCGCACUACCAUCCUGUCACUGAUCCAUUCCAGCAUUCCUUUGCGAAUUCACACGUAACUAGACAAUGCAGCAUACUUUCUGUGCUAUGAUUACAGAGUGGACAUAACAAAGGCACUUGAACAUUUCUCCUUCUUAAAACCUCAUAAACUGGCAAGAUAUCCGAAACAGCUCUCCAUAAAAAAUUUUUGACCUUUGGAGGACACCCAAAGCCCAUAUCUUCUUCCACACCAGCACCGGCACCUGUGACGACCAAGAAUUCUGAUUCUCCAAAAACUGAUAGCCGCUUUUUACUGUAUAAAUUCCCUUGGAGUCAUGAUACCAAUACCAGCUAUCCUCAGUAACAACACGCGAGAGAGGUAUAUGCUCAAUCAACUGAGCCUCAUGGGAAGUAAAAAGCUCAUGCAAUAACUCAGUAAUUCAGUAUCCCAUCUGCGGGUAUUAGGAAUAAACAAAUCUGCUAAGUUAACACUCUCCAUAACUGUCAAAUUCAAAGACUGAAUGCGAAAAUGUGGAGGGUCCGGCACCCACGGGCAUCCAUAGACUGAAGUAUUAGUCCCAUCCCCUAUCCGACGUAAACAACCAGCCAUUAACGGCUUUUGACCAGCCAUCAAAGAUUUCCAGAUAAAAAUGGGGUUUUUGCUGAGCUGAGCAAGUAAAAAAUCAGAUCUUUCAUAAUAGCGUGCUUGACAAAAUUUUACUAACAAGGGCUGUAGGCCUAGUUAGUAAAUUCCAUCCUGUUUUCGCAAGCAUCGCCACAUUAAACCUGGCCAGAGACCGGAAUCCAAUACCUCCUGCAGCUUUAUUACGACACAAAAUUUUCUCCAUGAGAACCAAUGUAUUCCCGAUUUUUCCUUUAUGUGUUAUUUAUAUACAUUACAAAUGUUUACAUACUCAUAUUAAAUAUAAAUUUAAAAUAUGUUAGUCUCAUAUUGAUUAAUUCUAAUUAUUUUGAUAAUAGUUGGACUCAUCACAAACUCAAAUUUAAAAUUCUAUAUUCUACUAUAUUUUUUUGUUUUCGGAAAAUAAUUUAGCUUUAGAAAUUCAUUUUCUAUUAUUUGAUUGCAAUAUAAAACUUAAAAUUUUGUUAAUUUUAAGACUUUAAAAUUUUUAUAUUUCAAAAAUUAUAGUUAAAUAUGAAAAAUAUGUAAAAAUAUACUUACGGGCUAUGACUCAGUUGACAAUGUAGAUUGAACAUUUGGAAAAAGCUCUCAAGUUCGAUCUUCACUAAGCGCACCUGCAGGGAGAGAUAAAAAAUCUCAACUAUAAUUAAAAUAUAUACAUAUAUAUUAAAUAUUUGGGGCCAAUAAUUGGUGGUGACUGUUAAUUAACUGCAAUUGAUCAAAAUGUGUAUUUAUAUGUGAAAAUAAAAUAUGUGUUUAUACAAUUUUAAUAUGUUUAUCCAUAUCUCUCUUUUUCUUUUUUCAAAAAAAAACAAAGUUUAUCCACAUCUAAUUGGAAAUUAUACAAAUAGAGACUUAAUUAUCAACCAUACCGUGCAAAACAGUAUAAAAGACACAGAGUUGGAAGUUCUGUAUUGUACGUAAUAACACAAAAUAAACGCAGAGAGUAGAUAUGAAGAGAUCGGCGGGAAACGCAUUGGUAUUGGCUGAAGAGGCUAGGAAGGCAGCCAGAAGAGCAAAGCUGGCCGCGCUGGCGGCUGUUGAAGCAGCAGUAAAGGCUACUUACUCCAACAUCCGCCGCCGCAGAACCCACCCUCCCCAUGCACUUCACAGCAGCGUUGUAAACUCUCAAUUGAAAUCCAGAACGACACCGCUUGCUUCAUCUACGUUCGGCAAGUUCUUCGGUCUUGUUGAUCCUCCUUGCACUGAAAGAUCCAAAAUCAUCUCUCAAUUCACCAAAAUGCAUGUUCGCCUGGUACUGUAACUUUAAUACCUUUUACCUGUUUUGACGGCUGACAGUUUAUUUGCGUUAUAGUUUCGUUCUAGUUUCGUUCAUUAAUGUCCUCCACGUGUUUGACGAAUGAACCAAGAGAACGGAUAUAGCUCGUAACUAGUUGAAAAUUUAUGUACUCUUUUUUGAAUUUUGACGCGACUGCUUUGUACCACUGUCUUGCAGAACCCUGGAAUGAGGAAGGACCGUUUGUUUGAGCAUAAAAUUAUGCAUAUGGUCAGUUCAGGAAAGAGGAUUGGACUCGAAGAGCUUACCAAGUUUCUGUCCAAGUAAUUGAGACUUUACAGUUCGGGUCUUAAGGUUUUUUAGUCUCCAUCAUUGCUUUGCUACCGCAUUUUCUUUCGACAUAUUUAUGGCUUUGAAGAUUGUUUCAGAUAUGUAUAAACUAUAAUUAAAACUAGUUGGAAUUUAAGCAUUGACAUUUUAAGAUGUUCUAUGCAAAAUCAAAGAAGGUUUUUAUUCCUCCCUCCCUCUUUUUGUUAUGGUGCUUUAUUUUUAAUUAUGGUUUGUCUGUUACAUCCUUUUGUCCCACCUACUACUUGAUUAAUCAAGUGAUAAUUACACAAAAAUAACCCUUUGGCCACAAAGAAAAAGAAAAUGGAUAAAGGGAAAAUAUUUGAAAUUUUUUUGUAAGAUUUGCAAAAGAGAAAAAAAAAAAAACAUACAAAACCCUAUUGAUAUUUACCCAAAAAUUGAAGUGAAAAAUUAACCCUAAGAUCAUGUGACAACAGUCAAAUCCAAUUCAAAAUUUGUAUUGUGUGUCUGUUUCUCCUCUUUAAAAACUCUAGAGUUUUUUAAAUUUUUUCAAGCUUUGUUUUCUGAAUAAUUGAAAUUAGUUUAUGCUGAAGAAACCAAUUAGACAAAGAAACAGAGAACAAACAAAGAGCCAGAAUUUUCAUCAGAAAGUUUGAUUGAUGUUGAAAGAGUAAUCAUUUUAACUUGUACCUUUCCUUUGUAUUUGAUAUGCAUGUUUUGCUAUUAGUAGUUUAUCUAUUCUGUAUUUAACUAUUGCAUUCAAUUGCGGCAUAUGCCAAAUAUAGCUGCAAGGUUUCGAAACCCAGAAGAGCUUUGCAAAAGAGAAAACACAUAUGAUUUCAUGUAAUCAUUAGUAUAUGCAUGCACAAUUUUAUGAGAUUUGCAAAAGAGAAAAAAAAAAUUACAUAGAAAACCACAGCUACUGCUUGAUCAGUCAAGUGAUAUUUACACAGAAAUAACCCUUUGCCCACAAAGAAAAAGAAAAUAGAAAAAGUGGAAAUAUUUAAACAUUCCUUAAGACCAGCAGCUAUGUUCAAGAGAUUCUUCAAAGCUCUUUUCCAUAGCAGAAGAAGAAGAAUCAACAGCAGGCAAACAAUUAGAAAGAUCAGUAGUGGAUGAAUCUUUAUCUUGAUUAUAUCUUCCUUUGAACCAUUUGAUUGCAGAAAACUUAACCUCAAAAAAAGAAUAAGGUGGAAGAGGAGAGGCUGUUGAAGGAGGAGAAGGUGAUUUAAUAUGGGUUGGAAGAAUUAGCAUUGCAGCUGUAGGUGCCAUUGUUGUAACUUUUGAAAAUUCCCUUGGAAAGUGACAAGCUUUAUAGUCUACUUGUAGACUGAUAAAGGAUAAUAAUGGUUGGCUUGAAUUAAAACAGGCAAACAAAAUCUGUGGGUUCAAUUAGUUGGUUUUGCUUGUGGGGACAAAAAUUAAAUGAGGUCAACACCAUGGUAACCACUGACCAGUUUGACAAAAUUUAGAAGGUAGGGUUAAUUACACUUUGAUCCUCAUUGUUUUAAACUUAUCAAUUUCAGUCUUUGAGUUUGGUUAAUAAUUAACAAUUCAAUCUUCAAUUUUGAAAUUAUGAACUUUUUUUUUUGUCACACUUGAAUUCUUGAUCCUGUAGCAUCUUUUUGAUACAUUUUAUUCUUUAAAAUUUUAAGGUUAAUUGUGUUUUAGUUUCUAGAUCAUAAAUUUUUUUUUAAAGAUAUUCUAAUAUCUCACUAAUAUAGAAUUAAAAGUUACUUAUUUUAAAACAAGAAGGACUCAAUUAUUUAUUGAAUGAAAUUUUAAAGGUUAUCUUAUAAUUAAUGCUAGAAAAUAUUAGGUAUAUUUUAUUUAGACCUGUUUCGAUAAGCGAGGGAGGAAUAGAAAAUCGACUUUUAGUGUUUGAAAUUCCAAGUUCUAGUUAAAAAUAUUUGAUAAAUCUAGCAAAUAAAUGAAUGCUAUUUUAAAAUUUAGUGAUGAUGGUUAAAAAAUAUAGGAAAAAUUUGGCCUCUUUUGGUUGCAGCCAAUUAUGAUUAGACAAGUUAGUGGGACAAGUAGAUUUAGUUGUUGUUGAUUCUUAUCGUCUCUCUGUGUUCUAAAGGGGAACGCUGUUUUGCUGAUGCUGUAUGCUAUCCUUGUCUGGAGACAGGUUCAUCUAAUAUUGGAUUAAUUUUUUUUCUAUUUUAUCUUUAUUUCCAAAAUUCACAUUACCAAUUUACGAAUAUGGCCCAUUGGCCCAAUACUCAAAUUACUUUACCAAGUUCCCUCUCACUUCCCUCCGUUUUCCUCAAGAACAAACGUUCCCUUCUGUCUGUUCGAAAAUGGGAAAGAAACGAAAGGUUCCGGUGGUCCUAUGGAAGCUAUUCAGGGACAGAGCACAGACCUUAGCCACCGUUAUCACAUCUUUAAUUCGACCUCACUCUUCAUCGCCACCGCCACAUCCACCUUUCUGCCAAUGCAAGGGUCGGCUCUGCCUCAACUGUUGUGGUAGUAGUGAAAACGCCAUGUCUUUUCUCGUACAACCCCGAGAUCCACUCGAUUAUCGCAAUCUCCUCAAUAACUGCUUCGUUGUCGUCAAUGACAAUGCUCCUCUUGUUUCUGCUGCUGAGUCUCGGCCUCAUAACAACUGGCCCCAAAGCGAGGUUGUUUAUUGUUAACAAUCGUCAUGUCGUUUAUGCAUAUAAUCUUGCAAGUUGGUUUAUCAAGUAAUGUGCUUGUUGUGGUUUCAGAUUGUGGUGAGGACUAUUGAAAUGAUAAUCAGAGAGCAACCGGCGAAUUCGAAUGUAAUAUGCAGUGCUUAUAACAAGGCAAGUAAUUUAUAAAUGCUAAUAUUUACACCUUCAUUAUAUAGUUAAUUUGACUAACUUGAAUUCGUCUUGAAAUUACAUGUUUUAAGUAUAAUUCUUAUAUCUUAUGUAUUUGAAUUGGAUUGGAAUCUUGAUAGGUUGCAUCUGUUUAUUUAUUUAGUACUUCUUUUCCUUAUUUGAAGGUUUCUUUCGUUUUUGUUGUUUGGAUGACAGUGUAAUCACUCAAGCCCCAUUGUUGACCUUCUGACGUCUUCAGCAUGGAGUCUUCUAUUAAAAAGGGUAUAAUGUGGAUUUCAACUAUUGACUGAUUAUGUUCUUUGAUGUUUUUCAUCAAAUUAUAUGAGUUGGUGCGUAAAUUCCAUAAAUUGCAGGUGGGGGAUGGUAUCAUGAUAUAUCUUCUAAAGCAUACAUCAAUAUUUUUGCCACUUCCUCUUAAGAAACACCAUCAGGUGGCUGGUCCACCUGUGAAUAAUUUGGUUCUUAAGUUGUUGAAGCAUACAACAGUGCCACGACAAUGUCAAGAUCCUUUGGUCAUCCAUUUUGGUAAUUAAGGGUUGAUAAUUUCAUAUUUUUAAUAGGUGUCUAAGGAUGUAAUUGCUUUGUAUUAUUUCUUGAGUAAGUGAUAACACAUGUAUGUAGACGCACUUGCUUGUCCUUUUAUUUUUGAGGAAAAGCAGUUGAGAAAUGCUUGCUUAUGUUUUUGCGGAAUAAACUCUAUCUAUUUUCCUAUUCUACUGUAGGUCCAAUUUGUCUGUUUUCAAUCACUACAUUGAUCUGAUAAUCAUAACUCUGUAUAUAUGUAGGCUUAAAGAAACGGGAAGAUUUAUGUUGCCUGGUAGGGAAGUUGACAUACCAUUAUUUCCUUCGAUGUGUUAUGAAUCAGAAAAUCUGGAUGCUAGAGAUAAACUAAGUUUGUUAUAUUUUUUAAACAAAUAAGAGAAUCUGAAUGCUAGAGAUUGUGUUUUGUAAUGUUAUUGUUUCUUAUUCCCAUUCUAUAUUUUCUUCAUACUUUCUUGCUUUUAUAAUUGUAUCAUAUCUUGCUCAGUUGCAAUAUAUUGCUUACUUGUUAAACUGAAAUUAUGGACUGCAUCAUUAAAGUGUGACUUCUUUUUGACAGGACGCAGGAAGAAAAGGAGUAGGGAUGAUAAAGCUAACUCAACAUGUGAUAUACAACAACGUAAUACUCUCUCUACUCAAGGUUCCAUAGAUUGUGUUGGUAGUAAUGGUAGCAAUUAUAUAAAGCAAGGGCAUCUGAAUGAGGAAAUGGUGAAUCCUAGAAAGCGACUGCGACCUUUUAGGUGGCAGCGCUGCAAAAAACAUAAGCAUUCAGAUAUCAAUGAAAGCACUAGUCUAAGGCGUUGCAAUGUUCAGAUGAAUGUACCUGAAGCAUCUGCUCCUAGAACCAGAGUUUGUAGUCUGAGAAAUGAAGGGUACUCAAAUGAAAAACUUCAAGGCUCAAAUCAGGUUUCACCAAAACCUGGAAAGCAUUCAAGACUAUUUAGGUGGCAGCGCUGCAGAAAGCGCAGGAAUGCAGAUAGUGAAGAAGCCAGUAAUAACACUUGUUGCUCCACUGAUCUUAUUAAGGAACAUAAAGCACCUGAGAGACUUCCAUGUGACCUUAGUGAUAGUAAAAGCCAUUCCCAUGAAAAGGUAAUUUUGAUUUUCGCAGAAUGGUGAAAUGGUCACUUUCAUUCAUCCUAAAAUAUCAGUAGGUUAUAUUUUUUCCGCUGGUUCAGAGAUGGUUUUGUGCAACCCAGUUUCUGUAAAUUUCCUCUCUGUUCAGUUAUUUAUUUCCAUAACUGCAGAUGCACCAGCAAUGCUCUUGUGUUCUUCUAUUGGAAGCUGCACAUAUGAACAUGAAAAGGGCACAAAUUUGUAGGCGACCCAUAUUUUAUAAUUUGGAAUGUUCUUCAUCAGUUCUUCCACAAAAACGUAUCCUUCCAUGUAUAUUAAAGUUUAAAUGUCUAUUACGUUCUCGCUUCUUACUUCUCUGCUUGCUUAAAAUUGCGGUAUUUGUUGCCCACUCUACUGAUUUUUUAUCCGCGAAAGUGUUUUUCUUUAGCAGCCAAGCAACCAAUUAAUGGUGUUCUUGUAUUUGUAAGUAGUCUUUCUCACCUUCAGACUUGUGCUGUUCUAAGGUUACACAAAAAAUUGUAACCUUAACAACAUUCAGAUAUAUUAAAUUCUUUAAAGUCAAAUUUCGCAGGUUCAAAGUCUCUUAUUGGCAGUGUUUUUGGCUUAUCUCUUGUAAAUUUGAAUGCUCAAUCAGUGCCAUGCUCCAACAGCAGUGGCUUCUGCCGCUCAGGAUCAACAUGCUUGUAAGCUAAGCUUUUACACACAGUAAUUUAGUAUUUUAAAGAUUUUAAUAGUUCUUCCCUAGAUUAUUUCAUUCAGUUGAUUUCAUAAACAGUUCAGUUUACACUUAUGUUGACAACUGAACCAAAUCCAAUACACUCUGAUUGGCUAAGCUUGUUAAUAGAAUAGGUUGGAUGGCUUUACCCUUAUUAAAUUGACUUUGGAGUCCAUUACUAACAUUAAUUGCUAUAGCUACAAUUUUUGUGAAUUCAAGAACAUGACAAAAUCAUAUUUUUCUGUGCCAUACUGUAAUUGAAUCUGUGUAGCCAAAUACCUCUUUUUAGGGACUUCAUAGAAAACUUUACACAUGAUUAUGAGUAUAGUUAGUAGCUCUUUUAGUGAAGCUAUUCUUUACAAGUGAUAUGCUAACUCAAUGCCUUAAUCUCCUUUUGAUUUAAUUUCUUAGGUAUCAUUUGCUUGCUAAGUUGUUUAAGGUUCUUAUACGCCGAACUCAUUGCUGCAAGCAUGUUAGAUUAUUGGAUAAGCAUUGCAUGGUUUCAUCGUCAAUUCAGACUACCAAUCAAAAUUCAACUUCGUUUGAGGUUAGUUUUCAGCAUAGAACUUGUGUGAAGUGUAAGAGACAUGUGAUUCUAAUUUAAUAUACUUUUUUCUUGUUAAAAAACUGAAAUUUAUUAGCAAGUCUUUUUCAGGAGAAUGAGUUGGAGAAUAAAAUUUCUGAGAAAUCUCAUGGUGUUAAUACUGAAUCUUGCAAUGAUCGCCAAACUGAGGCAAUAAAGUCCUAUUGCUCAAAGAGUCAGGUGGUGUCAUUUAUAUGGGCUGUCUGUAGAAAUUUAGUUCCUCCAGAUUUGUUAGGAACUCCUUCCAACUGGAGAAUCCUAACGAGGAAUAUUUCCAAGUUAAUUUAUCUAAGAAGAUAUGAGAAGUUUUCAUUGAAACAAUGUAUGCAUAAACUGAAGACUUCAGGGUUCCCCUUUCUAUCAGAUAAACAUUCUUCAUUUUACUUGGCUGCUGGGGUGCAGAAUAAUGUGCCACGUCAGAAUUUAGAGAUGCAGAAGGGAUCAUGCGAAUUAAAUGAUGCUGUGAGUAGUUUCAAACAUAAGCUUUUAGAGAAAUGGAUAUUCUGGUUUUUUUCGUGUCUGGUGGUGCCAAUACUACAAGCCAACUUCUAUGUCACUGAAAGUGAGCAUGGCAAACAAGACCUCUUUUAUUAUCGGAAGCCAAUAUGGGAAAAGGUGAAAAAUAGAGCCAUUACAUGCUUGAAAGACCGUAACUAUCAGUAUCUAAAUGCCAUAACCGUUGAAAGUGUUAUAGGCAAUAGGUUAUUUGGGUUCUCGAAGCUCAGACUUUGCCCAAAAGAGAAUGGAGUAAGGAUGCUUGCAAAUCUUAAAGCGCCAUCUAGAAUGAUUCAAGCAUCCUCAUCCACUGGAAUGCUGGGAAGAGCACAACUUUGCUCCAAGUCAGUUAAAUAUAAGCAUUUCAAGUCAGUGAAUUCCAUUCUUCGUGAAACACAUGCUGUUCUGAAAGGUAUACUGUUAAAAGAACCAGAAAAGUUAGGGUCAUCAGUGUUUGACUACAAUGAUAUAUAUGGAAAGUUAUUCAUGUUUAUUCUUGGCUUGAAGAAUGAAUUGGGUACCUUGCCCAACAUAUUCAUUGUUGUUUCUGAUGUGUUGAAGGCAUUUGAUUCUGUUGAUCAGGAUAAGCUGAUUAGUGUAAUGGAAGAUCUCAUAGUCGAGGAUGAAUAUCUUCUACGACAGUCUUCUCAAGUGGUUUGUACUAAGAAGUCUUUGUGGACUCAAGAGAAUCUUAUAUUAACAGAUACAGAUAUCAGUACUGGUUUUACAAAGUUAAGUUCUUCUGCUCGCUUUGGUUCAUUACAUACAGUGCUUGUUAAUCAGGUAGUUGAUCUGAGUUGCUCAAUUGUUUUUGCCAGUUCUUUAAUAGGGAUAACUACACUCCAAGUUCCAAUAUCUUAUGUUGUUGAAUCAAGUUUCUUUCGAAAAUUGUCUUAAUACUCCAUGAACUCAAAUUAUUACUUGUAUUCAAUUAAUAUGGGAUGGCAAGGUUAGGAUGCAGGUGUUCAAUAGGAACAUGAACACAAAUUAUUAGUUGUAUUCACGUUAAACAAUAUCUCUUUGUUGCAGGGGUUCAAUAGGUAUAUGAAGAAGAAAGAGCUUCUUUUCAAUCUAAAAGAGCAUGUGAAACGAAACGUACUGCAGUUGGAUAAAAAAUUUUACUUGCAAGGCUUAGGUAUACCACAAGGAAGUAUCUUGUCUUCCCUGCUUUGCUCAUUGUACUUUGGUCAUCUUGAAAGAAAUGUGAUCUUCCCAUUUCUUGAAAAAAUUCGUGAACCUGCUAUUAUAGAUUUAUCUGGAAGUAGCAAUUGUCAGGGUGCUUCUGCUGCUGUAAGUAACAGAGAGAAUAGAGUCAUUUCAUCCUCUUGUUAUAUGCUGCUCAGAUUAAUUGAUGAUUUCUGCUUCAUAUCAACCUCGAAGAAGCUGGCUACUGGCUUUUAUACCAGGUUGCAGAGAGGAUUUCGGGAUUACAACUGCUAUAUGAAUGAAGAAAAAUUUUGUCUUAAUUUUGAUACAGAAAAUGCAUCUGGUAUUCCAUCCAACAGGGUUUACAUUGGUGAAGAUAGAACCUCAUUUCUUCGAUGGAGUGGCUUGCUUUUGAACUCUUGCACUUUAGAAGUUCAGGCAGAUUACACCAGGUUAGUUUUUAGUGAUUUCUCACGGACAUAUGCAUCAGAUACUCAGUUGGCCUAUAGCAUGCUCGUGCUUAAUGUCAUUCUAUCAACUUGGUCAACUCGUUCACCUCUAUGCUCGAUGUGUUCAUAAAGUAAUUUGCUUAAUCUCAUUUCACAGGUAUCUGAACCACCAUUUGAGGUCAACUCUUACCGUCUCCUGGCAAGGUAAACCUGGUUGCCAACUUAAGGCAAAGUUAUGUGGCUUCUUGAGACCUAAGUGCCAUCCCAUAUUCUUCGAUUCAAACAUUAACUCAGGACCUGUUGUUAGAUUAAAUAUCUAUCAAGCAUUUUUGUUAUGUGCAAUGAAGUUCCAUUGCUACGUUUCCGAGAUGUUGUACACAUGCAAACUACACCCAAGAUACCAUUUAAAAAUUAUUGAAAGGUCCUUCAGGUACACAUUUCUUACUUCUUAUCUUCUUUUCCCUUGAGCUCCUUCAACAUCUUAUUAUACAUUUUUGCUGCUUCUUUGUUUUCUGAAUACAGGUAUAUGUAUAUUCUAAUAAAGAAAAAGAUGUCUACUGCACAUAUCGGUUCUCAUUUCCAUCCCAUUCUUCAAUUGGAGGCGGGAGAAGUUGAAUGGCUUGGGUUGAAUGCUUUUAUCAAGGUAUUGAAGAGAAAACAAUCUCGGCAUAAAGAUCUGCUACGUUUGUUGAAGUCCAAGUUGUCAGCACAUAGAAUAAAUGGGAGUGUAUCUUCUCAACUUGACUAUGCAAUUGAUAGUUCACAUUCCUCUGUAAUGUGGAAAAUCAAAUAUUAGAUACUCAGAUUUUGUCUCCUUUCUAUUUUGCAGUGGGAGGGUACAAUUGGUACAAUUUUUACCUGUUUGGUUAUAAUAUUGUCUUUUAAAUAGUUACAGGAGAAUUAUAAUUUGAAAAAUAUAAAUCUGUUUAUCACUAAUAAAACAUAUUAAGGAAGGGGUAGAAUGGUCCAUUAUUAGUCUCUUUAAUAUCAGAGUACAUCAGAUCCAAACUACUGAAAGCUAGUUAUAGAUUUGCUAUAAAGAUUAUAUACAGUAGAGAAAGCAGUAUUACCUAACUCAAAACUACAUUAAAAGAAAAGGAAACUACAAAAUGAGUAAGAAUCAAAAGGCAAGAAGCUUUACAAUUAUUUUCUGAAUUUCUGAAAGGUAAAGGAAAGAAAAGAGAACUUCAUACUUCUGGCCGAGUACUCUAUGGUUCUGCAGAAGCUUCUGUUGCUCCUGCUGUGUUGCCAUCAAGUAAGGGUGUUGUGUUUGACCUGUCAGUUGCAGCGACUUGAUGCUGGCUUUCUUCAUUAAAUCUAUCUACACUGCGCAGAAAUAUUCCUGCCAAGUACACAUAAGUUAUGUUACUGAUGUCUUUUGAUGGAAAUAUGAGAAACUGUUAAUAGGUUAAUUAUCCACCUAAUAACUACAUCAAUUAUAUAUCUCCAAAGUGAUCUAUGUUUAUUUUUCUAUCUUUCAAAUUUUGGUUUUAACCAAAUGCGUAUAAUUGCAACUAAUGGGACUUUUGGGCAUAAUUGUAAGUUUUUUAAAAGGUCCUAAUUCUUGUGGUUCAAACUUAAAAUCUCUAACGAUUCACUUUUGUCCAAUAAGGAAUUUAGACCAUAAAAAAAAAAAAAAAAAGCUAAUUCCAAGGCCAUUUUUGUAGUGACCUACUUUUCUCCUGGGUUAAUGCAUGGUUGUGGUUCUUUCUCUUUUUUUUUUUUUUUUUUUUUUUUUUUUAUGUGUAUAACCAGGAGGUGUAAUCACUUUGGGUCAUCAAAUGUAAAAAUUUUUGGCCUCCCAGCAAAGUGCGCUUCCCAGGGAUCGACUUGUGUUCUCACCCUGUUGAGGAUUGAGGUUGCUUACCACUCCAACCAACACCUUAUUGAUAUUCAUAUAGACUAGAUGAGUGUUAUCCAAAGAUUCAAUCCUACCAAACAUUGACCUACUAGCUAUUUUAAUGAAAGCACUAGGAAAUACAAAUACCUAUACACCAUAUCCCUGCUGCUGGAAACAAAAUGGCUGUCAGAACAAGAGCAGUCUCCCUCCAAUUGUUGACAUAAUCCUGUAAGAUAUUUCCAAAGUUUAGUAACUAAAGUUGUCGAUACAAGCCAUAUGCAAGUAAAAUAUUGAGAACGUAAAACCCCAAAUCAAAAGCAACUCUGUAGCCAUCAUUUUCUACAUGGCCACAAACAAUGCAAUAUCAAAAUUAUAUAUAUACGUGUGCUGGCCAUCUUCAUGGUAAUUUUCUCUGCAUUUGCAUUUGCUUCUAUUUCCAAGUAUGGUUUUAGAAGAAAGAAAAAAAGUCAUGCUUCUUUCUUCAAAAUUCAUGCAUAUCCUAUUGGCGUUCUUUUACAAACAAUAGUUUCACAGUGGCAAAGACAUGACCAUUGAAGCAAAGACAACAAACCUGGAGGACGCCAACAAGGGGGGAGGAAGGCACAUCUCCAAAGAUAUGAAUUGAAACAGUAGAAAUAGCCAUAGAUAAGGGUCUCAUACUCGGUGCAACACAAUGAAGACAAAUGAAAUUUACAGGACCCUGCACAAAUACCAUGGAUUUUAUGCUGCGAGAAAUGUUUCAAAUUGUGAACAUUAACAUGUAAUAACUUGUAUUGGAGAAUUGAAUGGUGCAAGCAAUUGAGAGGAGGUCAUUCUUGCUUAAGAAAAGGAAUACCUGAGUUGCAAAGACAAGCAGUUCCCCAAUUGCGAAGAGAGCAAGAAAAAUAUACAUGCUCUUGAAACAGAAAGCAGUGAAGCAAAAUAUUGCCCCAAGAAAUGUAGCAGCAGAAAGAAGCUGUAAAAGGAUAGAAGAUAUUCAGAGACAAUCUAUGACUUGGAAUCAGAUAUUCUAAACAGUUGAACUAUAGUGCUUUGUGACAUUGUAAUGUAGGCAAACUCAACCGGACUAUACCUUUCUACAAUGAUAAAGCGAGCAAAAUCUCAUGAUAAUGUAGGUCAGCAAAUACCAUGAAGGUAAUCAAUCAUUAGUCAUAUUACACCUCAUUCAGCAUCAGUGAGCAGUGUAUGUUUGUUAAACUAAGAAUCUUAGUUUACUAGCUGAAACAACAUUAUAGAGACUAGCAAUGACAGCUCACUUUUUAAUCUCUCACAUCCAUUGCUAACUGUUUGAGGGGCUACAGCCCAAAACCAUUUCAUAGUUGACAGAAAACCUAAAAAAGACUUAAGAUUGUCAGUAGAUCCACAAGAACGAUAAGGCUUAAAAAGCCUUCUCCUUCAAUAAGCCAUAAAUUAUUGAUGUUCAUGAUUAUCUAAACUCUCUCCCGCAUCCUUCAUCCAGAAAAAAAAAAAAAAAAAAAAAAAAAAAAAAAAAAAAAAAAUUCUGAAGUAACAUGAUUGUUGACUUCAUGAAAGCAUGUACCUUAAAAGCAUUAGGGAUUGUCGAAGUCAUGAAAUCCAAAAUAUAUCCGCCUGCUAUUGUGCCAAGUAUUCCACAAACUAUUGUAAUUCCUCCAAAUAUCAUAUCUGCAUUGGUCUGCCAAAAGAACAUGAUUUUAAAUGAGGCAGCUAGCUACUUCACCAAACCUUUUCUUGUCCUAACCCAUUUUUUGCCAAUUUAAUGAAAUUACUACCUUUUAUGAGAUUACAAUGUGAGAUUAAACAGAAAAAGAAAAAUAAAUCAAAUUCUAAAUGUCAAAGAAAAAUAUUACCAUUUUGUAGAUAUUAUAACCAGCCUUAGGGCCCCAAUAUGAGUAUGCACCAAUGACGAAAUUGUAUGCUAUGUAGCCUGAGAAAACAGAAGGCCAGGCUCAGAAAAUUGGCUCAUAAACACAUAGCCAAUGCAGCAUGCUUCUAAUAAUGUUUUUACAUCUAAGCUGUCCUCUAAGAAUCUCAUGGGAAAUAAAUCCAUAAACUGGCUGACUGUAGUUUAAUAAUAAAUGUGGUCAAAAGCUAAACAGAAGCAUCAGAGAUGUAUUGGACGACAAUGAAAUUACUUCCAAAACCUUUACAUAAUUAUCCUUAAAUAAAAUUUGAAAAAAAAAAAAAAAAAAAACUAAGAAAAUAUAUUUAUUCUGAAUAAACCACAAGGGUGAGAAAGAAAAUACCUAGAACGUUCACAACAAAGACCUUCUCAGCCAAAAGAAUUUUCAUGUCUUUCAUAAACCUUGAGAAUUGAUUCAAACCAAUGGCUGUGUACCUUGACCUGCAAUCAAUAUUACAUCCAAAAAGCUUAAAUACAUAUUACACCCAUCAGCAUUCAUACACAUACCAACUUAACAUUAACAAAUAAAUUUAAACCGAAGUGUUAGACAACCUACAAAGCAGAUGGCACAUACAACUAAUGACUAAUAAUAUUUCAUGGAAUACAUAUGCGAGUAGUAUAAAAAUCACUUUGAACUAAUGUGUAAAUACGAGAUAAGGAUAAGUAACCUCACGUGCAAGACUGUUUUGAGCCUUUACCAUCUAACUCGUCCUGAACAGAUGGUGUGCCACCUUUACCAGUUGAAAUUUCGGCAUCUGUAUUAGCAUUAAAACAGAUUAAUAAUGUCUUGCUACCUAGAAAUAAACUCUUUAUUUAUAAAGGGACUAAAUUAUACCUAUAUUUUACUGGUGAAAUUAAUUUCUUAUACUGAAUGCUAAAGUGGCAUGUAACAAAAAAAAAUCCCAAACAAACUCUUUUGAAUAGGGAAUAAUGUGAUAAGUCAUUUAAUUGCCCACUUAUUAUGCUACCUUAAGUACACAAGUGUAAAGUAACAUACUAGACUAUGAUAUAUGCAUCCACAGGAUUAUUUGCUUCAAAUCCACCAUAUGUAGGGAAAUCAUAGUUGAUCAGUAAUGUGGCUCAGUUCAUCUAAAAUUAAUUCAACAGUUUAUUGAAAGAAUCAAACUUUGGAAGAGCAGAUAUGCUAUCUAAACUUUUCAAUUGCAACCUCCACUUGAAGUUUUAAAAUGCCUCAUUAAGAUGAUAAAAAAAAUUUUAAGAACUACAUUAAUGCAAAUGUAGCAAUAUGAUUGAACAGGAUAUUAGAAAAUAUAAUGAAGUAUACACAUACACGUACAUUCAACCACUUUAAAUGUCCUGGUAGAACACAUGAAACUUCAUCUGUUCUACAUCUAUUAAGUAGUGAAUUUGCUAAAAGGAAAACAAAGUAAAUGCACAAACUAUAUUGAAUGAUAUGAUGCUAUAUUGUCAUAAAACACAGCACCUUGAACUUCUGAGCAAGUUGUUUCUACAGAUGCCAGUGCCUUUUUUGAUUCAGCAGGAGCAAAACCUGCAUUAUAAAAUGUUUAGACACAGAUAGAAAAAGCCUUCAGCUCAAACUAAAAAGAAUAAUUCCAACUUCUACCUUUCAACUGUAACGGCUUCAUAACAUAACCUAAAACAGCAAAUGGAAGCAUCACAACUGCCUCUCCCCAGAAUGCCCAACGCCAACUAACAUGAUCUCCAACCUAUUAGGAACGAUAAGAUAUGUGUUAUUUUGAAUCUUAAAUAAAUUUGAGGAUAGGCAGUUGAAAGGGAAUGAAAACAUGACGUAUUCUAUAAUAGCAUAUGGUGAUGCCUUAACAGUUCUUACGGAUGUCGCAAAUGCAUGCAAAUGAGACCAUAAUUUAUAAAAAUAAUCUCAAAGAUCAACAGAACUAAUGAAUUAAGGAAUGAACUUACUAGUCCACCAUAAACAUAGCCAACAGCAUAUCCAGUUGGUAUGCACAUGUAAAAUAUUGCAAGCCAUGCUGUUUUCUGAUACAAAAGCAGGUAUUAGAUCCAGGUUUGCAGCACAAAAAUUAAUUGCAAAGAUGAUGUAGCAAAUCUGAUUCAAGAUGAGUAAGCUAAGAGUGAAGCAAAUGCAAACUUACAUUUAGAUCUAAUAUCCUUUAAGAUUUUAAAAAGUGCAUUGAAUGGAACAUCAGUUUUCAACCUUCCACCAAAUUCAUAUUGAAAUCAGUGUAUUAUUUCUUGAGUAUGUUUAUCAUAUCAUCAACAAAAUAAGCGCUACUUGGAAGUUACACACCUUUCUUUACUAGUAGUGGACUCAAGUCUAGGUCCCUACAGAUAAAGCUCAAGUACAAACGAAGUUCAGUGACAAGAGAUGACUAUCAAUCUUUUACCUCAGAAAUCAAACUCUGAAAUUUGAGAAAUACAUUUGCCAUAUUCACAUCUGACGUAAAAUCCAAUUUUCCAUCGCCACAAAUAUAUUACAUUAUGAAGCCUACAUCAAUGAUGUGAAAACAAUAAAAAUAAUAUUCCAUAAGAAGAUACUUUCAACUUCAUUUUGGUGUUAGGUUCAUGGGUGUAUGUGGUGAAAUUUGGUAAAUUUUAUUAAGGAACAGUAGGGAAAUUUCAAUUUCUUGUUUUACCAUAUUCAAACCUAACUUUACCAACUCUUAGGUUAGCAUAACAAAGCAUUGCAAUCCUAAUUGAGUGAAAACUCCAAUUGAUUGAAAAGAACAACUCUAGUAUAGGCUGAAUACAUUCUGAUAUUGGUUAAAUCAGUAAGUAUUCCAACGUCUUUUGCAAAGUUCAAGAUUUUGAGACAAUGAAAGCAUAUCUGUUUGUGAAGAGUAAUAAUGAUAUGCCAUGGCUAAACAAUAUUAGGGAUUCAGGUUGCAAAAUAGCUAGAAAAUUUUACAUGGCAUUGAUGAUAACAGCUAGAUAGCCUUAAAUGUACAGAUAAUAAUUGGAUUACCACGUGAAAUCAACAAGCAUCUCCCCAGCAGCAAGCAUUAAAAUACAGCAUAGCCAUAUAUGUCAAACUGAAUUAGUUGACAUGUCAAAUGCCAGAAGUUGCAUAGUUUUCCAGCCAUUCCUAUGAUAGAGACCGCACACUCAUUUUACAUACAAAUCUGAUGCUCCAUUCUGGAGCAAGUGAAAGUGAGGUGAAGAAAGAGGGGUACUGAAAGUUGACGGAAAUCAAUUGCUUCUCAUUUUUUUUCAGAAAGGUAAGGUGAGAGAAGGAGAGCAAAAAAAGGUUAAUGUUUUUUCUCAGGCUCACCAAAUAUCAAUCAUUAUAGAGUUCAGAGAUAGGUGGGGGAAAAUCCUCAGUGUAUUUGUAAUUAAAAAUUUAUCAUUAGUAUUUCUUUCUAAAGUGAUAAGGAUAAAAUUAUAAUUACAAUUUCAACUUUUAAAAUUUCAUUUCCUUCUCUCUUUCCAUUUCCUCUCCCCAACAUUUCUACCUGUUACAUACGAAAGAGGAUAAAUAUAAAAUCUCCUCCCUCAUUUUGUCUCUCCCUAAUCUACCUUCUUUUCUAAACAAAGGGUGAUGUGUUUCAGUUAUAUACAAUAAACACUGCAAGCAAAAUAAUUUAAAACUUCCAUAGCAAAACCAAAGAAAAGGAAACCUGAGCCAGAGGGGCAUUAUCAUCAAUAAAUGGCGCUGCAAGACUAAUAAAUGAAGCCUCACCAACACCAACAAACCUAGGAACGACAAGCAAAAGUGUUAACCAGUUUACUUCUGCUGUGAAGAUAUUAAAAGAGAGAAAAUAGGUAAUCUACUUACAUGCGGCAGAUUAUUAUGGACCAGAAAUUAAAUGAAAAACCACAACCAACUACAGCAAGUGUCCAAACUGAUAAUCCAACUCCAAUUAGCCUAAAUGGAUUAAAGCUGCAAAAUAUCAUAUAUGAAUCAGGAUUCACUGAAGGUAAAUCUACGAGAAUAAGUAAGAUUCUAAUAUUUCUUGAAAUUCCAAAACUAUGGGGAAAACAAUUUUUUCCCCCUUUAAUCCUUGUGAGUAACAGAAAAAUAAGCAUGGAGGUGAAAAACCUCAAAUUAUGCCAUAUCAUGGUAAAAGAAACAAUUGAACAUGAUUUUAGACUUGCAUCAAACUUGACACUGAGAGUUUGAAUGCAUAAAAUAUUAUAGAUGACUACUUUUGAGCCCAAUUGAACUUUAAAUUUUGUGCAUUAUUUGAGAGAAAUUUUAAGAAAAAUUUUCCUUUUACCAAAAGGAUUAGACUUCACAAUCCACAUAUAUUAGAUAUACAAAUUUGCGAUCACCAAUUCAAAAACACACAAAUGCACAGGCAAACCUGCAAAGAACCUUUUGCGAUUGAAGUCCAUCAUGAAGACUACAUGACCUAAAUAUGCUGCAAGCACAAGGCUCAGUAUUGAAGCUCUGGCAUCAGUGAUGCUUACAAGCAUGACACCGGGAAUAACAUUAAUAACCUACUUCUUUGGAUUGCUUUCCCACAAAUAAAGGCACAAUUAAAUUUCAUAAAAAAAAAAAAAAGGUUUCAAGCAGUUCAAGUUAUCAUGGUUCUCCGCAGUCAUCAUUGACAUAAAAGCAACAUCCGACAAAAGGAUUAUAUUUUAUUUGAUAAAUGGCCACCUGCUCAUGUAAUUUUAUUGUUUUAUCUUUCUCCAUACUAUUAUUUGAUAAAUGGACAAUUUUCUAUUCCAUCUGUCCCUCCACAAAAUAAUUUUUGAAUUGGAAGAUAACUUUACACCGAGCCUAAGUUUCUGGAAUAAUAGAGUCAACAAGAAGUGUCUGAAAAUCGUUACUUCUUUGCUAGUGAUGCAAAUAUUGGAGAAGCAACAAGAAGUCCAACCAUGAAAGCAGAUGAUAAAAGUCCAUCUUCAAAAUUGUUUAAAUUGAAGUCCCCCCUGUGCAAAAGGAGACAUAAUUAGGUUAAAACUGUUUGAGUUUCAGCAACUGGUAUGUAUCACUGUCACUGCUCAACAAGUGGGUGGAAGCUAAAGGAAGCAUAAUUCUGACACUAAAUUCCACAUAAAUUAAGAAUAAAUAGGAAAUUAGAGGAGCAUCAAACAUGAAAAAUUUACAAUUUAAAAGUUCAUUAUUUUGUGGGUUGCUAAAUUCAGUUAUCAUUGGCAGACUGGAGUGGAUGGACACCAAAUCAGAAACGGGUUUCUCAGUCUUCACAAUUUCAGCUUCCCCGUAAGCGUAAGGAAGAAAAUAUUGCCAAGUCCUUCUACAAUUACUUUACUUUCUCAUUUUCAUUUUGGGUUAAUUUGGCUGUGACUGGGGUUCAAACUUCCAACUUCAUGGCUUUGAAGAUGACUUCAGCACUAGUAAGCCAAAGCUCAUUGGCACUUUUAACUUUUAUAUAUAUAUUGUCAAAUAUUAAAGAUAUACAACUAUCCUUGACCUCUCAGUUAGAAUAGUUUUUUUAACACAGCACCAGAGCUUCUUUGACUGAGUGGGGGAAACUUUGAAUCCUAUUUACCCUUUUGGUAUAGGUCAACUUGUGUUGUCCAUGCACUCAUACCCAACAUUGAAAGGAAGGAUUUUAGAACACUAACCCUACUUACUAUGAUCUAUAGCAACCAUUUAGACUGAGUGAUUUAGAUCUUAUCUAAUAAUAUUAUGAGGUCAAGAAAGGCAUGCUGCCUGGGAAAGGAUCUCCUUAUGAAAUCAAGAUUGUAAACCCCUCAAUUCCAAUCAAGUGAUUUAAGUCCAUUAUGAAGUCCAACAAAAGGUCCUCUACCUAAGAACUAAAUUAAAAGCAAGGCAUGUCUUUUGGACAAAGUGGUUUAAGUCCACUAUGAGGGGUCAUUAAACCUACCACCAUCAAGAUUGUAGAAAAAAGUAGUGGGCACUAGCCUAAAAUGUUUUAGAGGUCAAAACGAAAGCUUCCAGGUAAGUCUUACUGUAUUCCACUGCCAGAUGUGCAUGUACCACUUUUCGAGCAACUUCUGCGACUCCCAUUAACACCAUUACUUGCUAUAGCUCCUCGAUCAAUGUAAUUUAUCAGGUUGAUAACGCAAAAGACGACUAGCAGCCUGAAAAGAAGAGCAAUAUAAAGCAUAUUAAGACACCUAUUUAGCAACAAACUUCAAAACAUAGAUCUUAAAAUUUGCAAAUCAUAAUAAAGAAACAAACAAUCACAACACAAAAUUUCACAAUGCCAGCCAGAAUACAAAAAUAGGGUACCAAAACGUGAUUCUGGUAUAAAAUUUAGCGUGAAUUCCAGCCAGAAUACAAAAUUAGGGUGUCAUUAAUAAUUUCUAACAAACACUAAUCAACAAAAUGUUGAAUGAAAUUCUAUAUUUGCCAUUACAUUUCCUCCUUGGUUUUUUUUUACAAAGUUUCAAAACUUAAUCACAUAGUUUAGAUUCGCUUAUUUUCAUCUUGAGUUCACCUAACUUAGAAUAAUUAAGUCAGCCAGUCGAGAAACCAAAAAAUUACUAACAAUAAUCAAACCCACCCCCCCCCCCCCCCCCCCCCACACCUCUUAAAUUCUUAAACCCAUAUGUGCAUUACCCAUUCAAAGCAUGAACACCCAAAAAGAAGAGAAAAGAUCCAAUUCUUGUUUCAAAUCCCAAAAGACCAAGAAACACAGACCAAAAACGGCCAAUUUAGGAAUCAAAACAGCGAGUUAAAGAGGAACCUUUUUGGGGUAAACCAAGAGGGAGUAGGAGCAGACAAUGAACUUGAGCUUUUGGCCAUCUGAGUUUCAACUGUUGGGCUUGGCUCAUCAGACGAAGACGGCUUUGUUUCCUCGGUUUCUUCUUGUGCCAUGAAAGAGAUAUAAAGAAAUAUCUUAUUGAAGAAACAACCACAGCUACUUGGCCUUUGAAUAGUAGUUAAAGAAAGUUAACUACUUUUCCAUCACUCUCUCAAGUCUCAAUGCAGAAGAGUGUUUGUCUUUUAUUGAAAAUGAGUUUUUAACAUUUUGCAUUUCUGUAAUCAUUUCGUCAACAUAGAAAAAGCUUUUACCUCCAAGAUGAAAUUUUGAGCUGUAAAAAACUGCCUCUAAUCGGAUUUGGUUAUCUCGGUAACAAACUGACGCGCAUCUCUGUUUAGAUUCAGGUAAAGUUGCUCUAUUCCUUCACUUUUGCCAUGCCUAGGAGUCCUGGGACAGGGAUUCAGUGCGGCUAGCGCAAAAGCACUAUCUCACCAACUGGCAGAAGUAAAUAAUUUUUUCUUGACGUAACAGAAAUAAUACUGUAAGUUAUAUAAAAAAAUAAUUUUCUCCUCGAUCCAUAAAAUUGAUGAAAAUUUUUACACACAGAUACUCAAAUUUGAUAUUUUUUACUCGUGAAUUGAUUGAAAAACAAUUAAAUAAUAUCUUUAUAAGGACAAUGCAUUAAAGUAUCAUAUUAUUUUAAAGGGAUAUUGAGAUAUUAUGUUGGUUAUUUUUUCUAUUCAUUGAAGGUCGAAUGAGUAGAAAUAACACUCGAAACUGUACAAGACUUGAACUUGAUAACUCUCAUUCUUCACAUAAUUGAAAAUUUUACGUACGAACAUUUGUAGUGUGACACAGGGACAAACCGAGACAUGAAUACUUUAUAUACACCUAAGAAGCUAAUUUGUUUAAAUGAGAAUUUUGUAGUUCUAGAGGCAAAAAUUCAUAUGAUUUUAUUCCUACAACUUCAAUAUCGAAUAGAACAAUUGGAUUUUGUAAACUCACAAUUACACUAAAUAUUUCCUUUUCUAGCUCUACAGCAAAGGAAAUUGAGCUUUACCUAGGCUUUAGGAGAAUUUACUUUCAUAUUAUCCAUAUCAUCUCAUCAGGUGCACACGGAAGCGCCGAUCUCUCCAUACCUGGCCGACUGUCAAAUUCCACAUUUUCAUCAUUUGCAGGACCGUCCUCAUAAACCCAUGGUGACCCACUUCAUCCCAAUUCCAUACAAACAAGGUACAGCAAUGUCACAUCAUAAUUAAUCAAGCAUUAUAAUUAAGUGCAAACACAUCAAACAAUUAAAUAUCAUGAUGCAAGUGUACAACUAGACAUUCAUAUUCAAUUACAAUUAAAGAAAGAAGUAGUAAUUGACAAUAUAUUAUAGUAAUUGAUCCUUGAAAAAUAAAUAAAUAAAUAAAUAAUAAUAAAAUAAAUAAAGAAAUUUAUUUUAAAUAUAUUAAGUUAAAGAAUUAAUCUAAAUAAACCUAUUAACUUAAUUAUUCAUUAUGACUAGGCUAGAUUUUAUCGAAAUUCUAGCUCCCCUAAAAUUUAACUAAACCACAAUUUUCAAAUCCCAUCCAUCGAACAAUCAAUCAAACUAAACUCCCAUCUUCCUUCAACAGCCAAAUCAUCAUUCAACCAUAAUUCUAAAAAUUAAAACGACCCUCAGUAUACAAUUUUAUGUAUUCUUCCAACUUGAUACAAUACGAUUAUCAACCACCUUUGCUUUACAUCCAGGUAAUUAGUUCUUUAGUUAAUUACCAAAUGAUUAAAGUCCUUUAUUAAUAUAUAUAAUUAUAACCAAUCUUUAUUUCACUAACCUUAGUCAAUGCAUAAGUAUCAACUAAUAAAAUCCUUGACUAGCCAUAAAGAAUCAACGUUCCAAUUAGACUUUAAUCUAAAUAACUUACCUUAUGAAUAACCCAAUUCGCACUUGAAUAUGUGCCAAUAUCAACAUGUAUAAUUAUCCACCUUUUUAUAUACACCAAGUAAUCGGUCUUAGUUAAAUUAAGUUAACAAUUAUCUAAUUCAUUGACUAAGUCUUUCUACGGUUAUGUUAUCUGCUAUUCAAAUAAUUUAAAUUCUUAUUAUUUAAGUAUAUUCACUUCUAUAUUCAACUAUUCCAACAUAAAGGUCAAAAUAUCCUAAAUGACUUAUAUUUCUAAUUUCCAGAAUCAAGUGUGUUUAUCCAUCGAGAUUCCCUAUCAGGAAUCAUAUUCAAUUAAUUUUUUUUCUAGUUUAUUAAUUAUGUUUCACGUAUAGAGAAUUAUGUAGCUAAACAGUUCUAAUUGUAUAUUCAGAAUCUACACGACGAAUCCAACGAGUCCUUCAAUUAACUAUUUAUUCAGAUUUAAUUUAAUCAAUUAAUAGUUUUACAGUUUGGAAUUUAUACUAAAAAUUAGGAACGGGUCUUAGAGCAUAGACGAUUCCACGAUCAGUGGGAGGAGAACAAAUUUUUGUCUCUUGGUACCUCGCCGGACCGCCCCGUCGGCACUCAGACAACCCAGAAUUUAGCAACCCGCACAGCAAAAUGCUCGAAAUCUCCUCGGGACUCCGAUUCCGUCCCAACUUGGACUGGGUGUGCCAAUUUUGGCCGGAAAUGGCCCCGACAGUGGCUUCACCGCUGCCAUCCAUGGCGGAUCCUUCGAACGAGCUUGUCGCCGGAAUGGAUGGGAAAAAGGGGCUCGCCUCGGAGAGAGAAGGCGAUUUGCGCUCACCUCAUAGCCUGAAAUGAGCGGAAACAGUGAGUACCUCGCCGGAAAAGCGGAUCGCAAGGUGCGAAGUUUUUUUCGUCCCGAUCUCCCUUGCUGCCGGCCUUCACUGCUUAAACCGAAGUUACAGAUGGAUUCCUUUCGUCGAGCGCUUGAGGUUUGAGUGCUCACUUGCCGGAAUCAAUGGCCGUAGGCCGGAGAACGAAGGAAAAAACGAAAAUGGGAAAAUGCCCUGGAGAAGAAGAAGAGAAGAAAAAGAAAGAAAAAGAAAGGCAGUUUCUAGAGUGUUAUGGGCAUUCCGGUUCGAUUCGAAUUGAUUUGAUCUAAAUCAGCGAUCUGACUCGAUUUCGGCUUGAUAUACAGGUUUUUCACCUGUUUUAAAAAAAUUUAAGCUAAUUUACGAGUCCCGUCUAGCAACAAUAAAAUAUUUGUUGUAUAAUCUCUUGGUAAAAACUUAAUUUUCAAAUGAAAAUUUUACGAAAUUAAAUUUUCGGGUUGUUUCAGUAAUAAUAAAUAUCAAUUAUAUCAAUGAUCUAAUUUUUAAUUAAUGAUAAACAUUAAUUAUUUCUUUUGCAUUUUUAUUUAGAUAUAAAAUUAAUUUUGACAAGUUAAUUUAAGUAUUUACAUAUGUUUGAUUUUCU